AGGAUAAACGCUGGCGGCGUGCCUAACACAUGCAAGUCGAACGUCUCUUUCUUCGGGAAGAGGAGUGGCGGACGGGUGAGGAACACGUGGGAACCUGCCCUUUAGUGAGGAAUACCGGCGAGAAAUCGCCGACAAGACCGCAUAGCCCUCUUUGAUGAGAGUCAAAGAAGGAAAGCUUCGCAAGAGGCGCUAGAGGAGGGGCCUGCGUCCGAUUAGCUAGUUGGUGGGGUAAGAGCCUACCAAGGCGUCGAUCGGUAGCUGGUCUGAGAGGACGAUCAGCCACACUGGGAUUGAGAACGGCCCAGACUCCUACGGGGGGCAGCAGUGAGGAAUUUUCGUCAAUGGGGGCAACCCUGAACGAGCAACGCCGCGUGCAGGAAGAAGGUUUUCGGAUCGUAAACUGCUUUUCUCGGGGAAGAGAACGGACGGUACCCGAGGAAUCGAGCCCCGGCUAACUACGCGCCAGCAGCCGC
rnacentral:rRNA from 1 species